rnacentral:rRNA from 2 species
ACAUGCAAGUCGAACGGUAACAGGCCAAACAAUAUCCUUCGGGGUGUUGUGGUGCUGACGAGUGGCGGACGGGUGAGUAAUGCUUGGGAAUCUGCCCAGUAGUGGGGGACAACACGAGGAAACUCGUGCUAAUACCGCAUACGUCCUACGGGAGAAAGUGGGGGAUCUUCGGACCUCACGCUAUUGGAUGAGCCCAAGUCGGAUUAGCUUGUUGGUGGGGUAAUGGCCUACCAAGGCGACGAUCCGUAGCUGGUCUGAGAGGACGAUCAGCCACACUGGGACUGAGACACGGCCCAGACUCCUACGGGAGGCAGCAGUGGGGAAUAUUGGACAAUGGGGGCAACCCUGAUCCAGCAAUGCCGCGUGUGUGAAGAAAGGCUGCCGGUUGUAAAGCCUUUCAGUAGAAAAAAAAAGCCUGGGGCUAAUACCUCCGGGUCUUGACGUUACCUACACAAGAAGCACCGGCUAACUCCGUGCCACAACCCCCGGUAAUACCGGAGGGUGCAAGCGUUAAUCGGAAUUACUGGGGCGUAAA